rnacentral:tRNA from 1 species
GGGCGUAUAGCUCAGCUGGUUAGAGCGCGUCGCUGAUAACGACGAGGUCCCAGAUUCGAAUUCUGGUACGCCCAC